GAAAGGGUAUUCUCGAACCAGAGAGUGCCUGGGAGUUGUAAAAUGCCAGACUCCCCAGUUUGG
rfam:Hespellia stercorisuis DSM 15480 genome assembly, contig: EJ65DRAFT_scaffold00005.5